rfam:Desulfobacter postgatei 2ac9 chromosome, whole genome shotgun sequence.
AAAGUCCUGAAGGAGGAAUUAUCCGUACGCCUUCUUAGCACCGGGAAGCAGCGUCUGGGUAACCAGAGGUUGUAAGUUUCUUAUGGGCAAAGAUGCAGGCCGUAACGAAAGUGAACCUAUAUGUAGCCUCGUCAACUAAUUGAAGAUGCCGACCUUUUGGACAUCAAGGGAAGGCCGUAGUGCCUGGGAGUAGAAAACGGAAAUCCUUUCAGGUGAUCUUCCGGGGUAGCAGGGAU